CCUACGGGUGGCAGCAGUGGGGAAUAUUGCACAAUGGGGGAAACCCUGAUGCAGCGACGCCGCGUGAGUGAAGAAGUAAUUCGUUAUGUAAAGCUCUAUCAGCAGGGAAGAAAAUGACGGUACCUGAGUAAGAAGCCCCGGCUAACUACGUGCCAGCAGCCGCGGUAAUACGUAGGUGGCAAGCGUUGUCCGGAUUUACUGGGUGUAAAGGGCGUGUAGCCGGGAAGGCAAGUCAGAUGUGAAAUCUGGAGGCUCAACCUCCAAAUUGCAUUUGAAACUGUUUUUCUUGAGUACUGGAGAGGCAGACGGAAUUCCUUGUGUAGCGGUGAAAUGCGUAGAUAUAAGGAGGAACACCAGUGGCGAAGGCGGUCUGCUGGACAGCAACUGACGGUGAGGCGCGAAAGCGUGGGGAGCAAACAGGAUUAGAUACCCCAGUAGUC
rnacentral:rRNA from 1 species